rnacentral:rRNA from 1 species
UACAGAGGUCCCAAGCGUUGUUCGGAUUCACUGGGCGUAAAGGGUGCGCAGGUGGGUUGGCAAGUUUGAUGUGAAAGCCCCGGGCUUAACCCGGGAAUGGCAUUGAAUACUGCUGAUCUGGAGGAUCGGAGGGGGGGACUGGAAUUCUUGGUGUAGCAGUGAAAUGCGUAGAUAUCAAGAGGAACACCAGUGGCGAAGGCGAGUCCCCUGGACGAUACCUGACACUGAGGCACGAAAAGCCCAAAGGGGAGCAAA